rnacentral:rRNA from 1 species
UACGUAGGGUGCGAGCGUUGUCCGGAAUUACUGGGCGUAAAGCGUGCGCAGGCGGUUGUGCAAGACAGAUGUGAAAUCCCCGGGCUCAACCUGGGAAUUGCAUUUGUGACUGCAUAGCUAGAGUACGGUAGAGGGGGAUGGAAUUCCGCGUGUAGCAGUGAAAUGCGUAGAUAUGCGGAGGAACACCGAUGGCGAAGGCAAUCCCCUGGACCUGUACUGACGCUCAUGCACGAAAGCGUGGGGAGCAAACAGG